AUCUUGUACAACUGAGAAAAGGCUAUUUUCCUUUCUAUUCCCAGUCAGUUUUCUUCAGAAGGUUAUCAUACCUAAUUUUUCUAAGAUUCCACUCAUUUCCUUGAAUUUUUUCUUACACAUUUCAUAGUUAGGUUUAUCUAGCUCUGAGAGGAGAAAAUUGAGGUCCCCAUGUGAGUGCAGUUUUAUGAUUUCCUUCUGUUAUACAUUUAACUUUGGCUUUAAGAAUUUGCCUUGUAUGCCAUUUGGUGCAUGUGUUUAAUGUUAGUAUUACUUUAUUAACUAUGAUUUGUUUUAGCAAGAAGUAGUUUCUCUGCUUGUCCCUUCUUAUUAGGUCUAUUUUUGCUUUUGCUUUCUCUGACAUCAUGAUUGCUACUUCUGCCAUUUUAACAUCAGUCACAGCAUAAUAAAUUUUGCUUGAGCCCCUUAUUUUGACUCUGUUUCCAUUAUUAUGUUUCAAGUAUGUUUCUGUUAAACAAUAUAUUGUUGGAUUGUGGUCUAAUCUGUUUUGCAAUUUGCUUCCAUUUUAGGGGUGAAUUCAUCCCAUUCACACUCAUAGUUAUGAUUACUAAUGUGCAUUUCCCUAUAUUCUAUUUACUUUUUUUUAAACCAUUCUCUCUCUUUUAUCUUGACCCUCCUCUGUUUUGCUUCUGACCACAGCCUUUUUUUAUCUUUCUUCCCUUGAACUAUGACCCAGACAUGGGUAUAGGCAAUGGAACUUUUAGACAGCUUCUGUUCCUUCAUCUAAUGCUGGCACAGGGGUACCCUGUAAUCUCUGUUAGACCAGUUGCCAGAUAACCUUACUGUGUCUGACUUGAGAGUCCCCAAAGCUGCUUCUGCUUCUGUUACUACUAGCUAGUGCCACCACUAGUGUAUUACUCCAGGUGUGCUCUGGCUCAGCUUCCUCAACUGUACUAUAGACCUCUCUUUCUAAUCUCCUCUGUUGUCUUGGAUUGGAGGAAAGUCUCACUUUGCAUUUUUGUUGGCUUUAAAGGCCCAGAUUUGAUUUUAGGCAUUAUUUUCAUGUUAUUUGGAAGGGAGUAUUGGGAGAGCUUAGCUGAGUAUUUUCUCUUUUCUAACAUCUUGGCCAUGCUUCUGGAAGUGAGGGGCAACCAUUUUAUAUAUAGUUAUCAGGAUACUACUAAGUACCAGGCAUUGUGCUAGGAAUAUAGACCCAAAGACAGUCGUACCCUUAGUGAGCUUACAUUCUCUUGGGGGACAGAUAAGUAAAUUCAAAGUGUAUCCAAAUUAUACAAAGCAAUUUUAUGAGGAUUGGGUUGGGAAUAAGUGGGGGCAUUAGGAAUAACCUCAUAUACUAUCUUGUGCUUGAGUUAAUACUUUGAAGGAUUCAGUAAGAUGGAGGUGAUGAAGGCACAAAUGUCAGAUAUCAGGGUCCCUUGUGGAAGGGAGUGGAGAUGAAAUGGUAUAAAUGGGGAAGUAGAUUAUUUUGAUUAGAAUGGAGGGUGUGUGUGAAGGGAUAUAGAAAGGAAAACUACAAAGGAGUCAGUUGAGGGAAAUAUGGUUUGGUCUGGUCAGUAUUUUACUGAUAUCACUUUGAUAGCUCCAGCUGAAUGGUAGAUGAAUUAGAAAAGGGAGAAACUGACAGCAGGAAGAUCACUUAAGAGAUGAUUCAAUAAUUGUUUUUGGAAGCGAGAGGUAAACAAGACCUGAAUUAGGGUGGUGAACAUGAGGAUGAAGAAAAAGGAACAGAUGGGAGAACUGUGGAAGUGUAGGAUUGUCAGGUUUUGGCAAAUGAUAUUCUAUGUGGGAUGAAGGGGUAAUAACAACAGUCAGCAUUUAUAAGAUAAUAUGUAAAGCAUUUUGUAAAACUUCAAUUGUUAUAUAAAUGCUAUCUAUUAUUAUUUUUAUAGCAAUUCAAGGUCUGCCAAACCUCAUAGCAACUAUGUGAGUGCAGAUGUUAUUAUUAUUAUUAUUCCUAUUUUAUGGAUGAGAAAAAUGAGUAUGAGAAAGAUUAAGUGACUUACCUUUGGUUGUAAGACCAGUAAGAACCUGAAGUGUUCGUCUGGAAGACGAAUGUUCUAUUUAUUGUCACUUAGCUACCUGUAUUUCAUGCCAAAGAUGAUUCCCAGGUCACAAAGAUGAUUGUGAGCUUAGAUGAACAGAAGGAUGUGGUGUCAACAGCAGGGGUAGAGAUAUUUAGAUGAAGUAUGGUUUUAGGAGGAAACAUGAAUUUCACUUGUGCAUAGUAAUGGUAUAAGGUAAAACACAGAGCUGGAGCUGUCCGGCAGGAGGUAGGUCAUGUAAGGUUGGGGUUUUGAAGGCAACUGGGUGGCUCAGUGGAUUGAGAAUCAGGCCUAGAGAUGGGAGGUCCUAGAUUCAGAUCUGACCUCAGACACUCCCUACCUGUGUGACUCUGGGUAAGUUACUUGACCCCCAUUGUCUAGCCCUUACCACUCUUCUGCCUUGGGACUAAUACACAGUAUUGAUUCUAAGACAGACAGUAAGUGUUUAAAAAAAAGACUGGAAUAGAGCUCAGAGGUUAGCUUUGGAUAUAUUUAACUUGGAGACAUCAGCACAGCUAUGAUACUCAGUGCCACAGCAAUAGAUAAUAUUCCAAGAGAUAGAAAGGGUAAGUGAAAUGAGAAGGGAACCAAGAACACAGUCUUAAAAGCUUUCAUAUUUAAUUGGGGAGCAAAAAUAUUAAGAUCUGUUAACAGUGACUGAAAAACAUUAUGGUAUGACUGUUAAAGGUAAAUUUAGGGUUGAGACUGAAUAUAUUUAGUUGGUCACCAGGGAUUUAAAUUCUAAAUCUCAACAAAAUACUCAAGUCAGAAUGGGAUUUUAUGGUGGUUUAUCUACAAUAGAAAGAAGAAAAUCAAGAAUGAGAGAGAGGAAAAGGGAAUUGAACUGCUUUGGCCCAGUCUGAGUCAGGCAGGAGUUGAGAGGCCUUGGCCAAGGGUUCUCUCCAGAAAGCCAAGGGAAAGGGGAGUCAGCCUUAUCACUCACCAUGUGACUGUCUAAAAGGAAAGCAAUCUGAGGCCUCAUGUUGAGCUCCUCCAGGCUCAAGUUCCAGGGUCAAGUCCACCAAAGGGUUCCUCUCACAGGAAGUGACACAAAAUAUAAAGGCAGUUCUUUACAUCACUUCCUGUGUCUCACAUGUACCAAUUGUGACUUAAGCUUGGCUUGGGAUAGCUCAGGGGGUCAGUCAGUUGUUUCUGAUUUGCCACUUCCUAGCAUAUACCAGUCAUAGGCCUUUCUUCCCCACACCCAAUCCUUAAGAGGGGGUGUAUAUAUUCCUGUUUGCUAGAAUUCUAAAGACUAAGCAGGGUGGAAUAAAACUAAAAUUCACACCAUGUUCUCAAGAUUUGGAUUUAAUUUUUUUCUGAGAGUUUUAGGAAUAAUUAAAAAGAAGUCAGGGCACAUUCUGGGAAAGAAUGGGGAUAUUUAGUUGUGUUUAGGAGACUAAUUUUUUGUUGUUAUUCAUCUUUCCUUUUGAAGAGGACCAUAUCAAGGAUGACUCUUGAUUGUGAGUGAAUUGGAUCUAAAUUAGGAAGAGCUAUACAAAGUCACCAGCCUCACUCUCUAUCCAGAAUCAUGGAAGUCCAGUGGCAAGGAAAAAGUCAGGAUGACUGGCAAUUGCGCAGGAUGUAGGGAAUGACCAUGGUGUCUUCAAUGUUUAACCAAGGUCUAGGUACUCCACUGCACCAUUCUCAAUCACCUUCAUGGCUUGGAAUAGACAUCUCCCCAUAAUUCACUGAGGUCUAUCAAUGAUGCUCAAUGCCUUUUAGCCAUUCAUCUGCUGAGACAGUUUUACUGGGGCAUGGCUGCUUCUUGUUCUAAAGCUUCUUGGAGUCUCAGUACUUCAGGAUAUGGAAAACAUUUUAUGGAUAUUGUCUGCUGAACCAUAUAGGAACUCUGUGAGGGGCAAGUGCAUGCCUAGAGGCACUGUGGGAGUGGGAGAAAUAAGAAGUUUAGGGAGAAGUGAUGGACACAAGAAGAAAUUGGACAAUAUGAAGAGGAGAUGGACUAGUUAUAGGGCAAGGGAUGACAGGUAGAUGAGCCAGAGUAUUCCACUGAUACCUUCACAAUGUCAAAUGAAGCAAAGAAAGACUUUUAGCAUAUUCUGUGGAUUUUCUGUGGCACACUUAUGGGAGGACCUGGACAAAAAUCACCCAGGAUGUCCAGCUUCCUGAUCCUGACUUUGAAUUCUAGUGAAGAUUUGGCUUUUUGUGUUGGAGACACAGCCUGAAGAGGGAUGCUUACUCAGCCUCCUGACGACCCUACAGAGCAUGUGUGAUGGAUAUGUUCAGCCCCAAUUUACAGCUAAAGCUUGGCAACCUCCAUUUGAGUAGCUGAACCUAACAAGGAUUCUAGAGUCCUGGAAGAAAGCAAUAUGCAAAUGGAAUGGAAAGAAGUCAGGAAGCAGGGCAUCUUUUCUCAAGAGCUAGUAUUCACCCAGGACUUUGGAAGGAAAGCUGAAAUGAGGUGUGAGGACAAAAGGGCAUCAUCUCCUUUUUGUCAACCCAUGGAGAAAUUCUACUUUCUGGAUUCGAGACAGGUUUAGAAAGUCUGACAAUUGAUUUGGCAGCUCAGAUGAAUGCAGCCUGACAACUUAACCCAACAAACACCUGUUAAACACUGAAUAAAAAUGAUCUCUCUCCUCAGGAAGCUUACAUUCUCCCGGAGAGAUUCAGCUCAUAUACAGAUAAGUGAAUGUAAAGUACUUAUUUGAUUUAAGAAAACUUAAGAGGUAGAGAGAACUAACAAUUGAACAAUUGUGGCAUCC